CUCGGGGCAUGUGCACACCUUUGCUCAUUAAUCCACACACACCUGUGAACUUAAUGUGGGGCGUCCCUCGGGGCGCAUCCAUGUCUUUACACCAACUCUUAUGUAUGUCUAUAGAAUGUCAAAUCAUUUGCCUUAAAAAGCAAUUAAAAUACAACUUUCAACAACGGAUCUCUUGGCUCUCGCAUCGAUGAAGAACGCAGCGAAAUGCGAUAAGUAAUGUGAAUUGCAGAUUUUCAGUGAAUCAUCGAAUCUUUGAACGCACCUUGCGCUCCUUGGUAUUCCGAGGAGCAUGCCUGUUUGAGUGUCAUUAAAUUCUCAACCCCACCGAUUUGUUUCGUGUGGAGGCUUGGACUUGGGAUGUGCUGGCGUAAUGGUCGGCUCUCCUUUAAAUGCAUCAGCGGAAUCUUCUUUGUUUUCCGACAUCAGUGUGAUAAUACGUUGCGCUGUCGUCAGACUCAAAGUCCGCYUUACAAUGGUCUUCGGACAACUUUUUAUCAAUUUUGACCUCAAAUCAGGUAGGACUACCCGCUGAACUUAAGCAUA
rnacentral:rRNA from 1 species